UAAAUAUUAUAUUACAGUAAAUAUUAUUUAAUUCCAAUACUCUAACGAUUUCCAUAGUUUUUUAAUGUUUAAUGUGAUUUCCGAUUUGUCCUACUUUUUCGACGGUCACUGAACGCACCGACGUACCGGUCUCCAAUGCAAAGAGGGCUGUAUGGAUGUAUUUUAGGAUGUUUUUGGAUGUAUUUCGCCCCUUUUUCUUUCACUUUAUACUUGCUCCCGAAUGCUGAUACUAUGUGGGAAUACAUUAAGGAAAGGUCAUCUCACAGAGGCAGGAUGUUCCAAAUGAUUGGAUACUCCCUUUUCCUCACUAAGUGACUGCGACGUAAACCUCAGAAGACAUGUCAAUCAGAUGGUCCUGUUCUUCCCGGAGCUGUCACCCUGUAUGGAUCCCUCAGCCAGUCAUACCGGGAGCUGUCACCCCAAAAGUCGCUUGACUCCGCAUUUACAAGUGCUGAGUCCGUCUGUGAGGUCCGGAAGGCGACCGAUUCGGGAUUAAAGAUAUGGAUCUUGCUCAUUGAGCUUUCCAAAUACACCACUGAGUGGGUCCAUCCACUUCACAUUUGGUUCCUUGUCAACGCCAUGUUCCCCAUCACUGCAAACACGGACCCAGUUCGGGCGCUUACGUCAGUGUGCUCAUUCAGGUAAGAAUCCCGAAGCUUGACAGGUCAUCAAGCUGUUGUUCUUCAACAUUGACCCCGACAACCGACGGUAAAACGGACAUAUAGUAUACGUAUAUAUAGAAUGCGGACAUAGUAUGGAAUUAACGGUCCCUAUUGCUGUCAGUGGCCUCGUCCAUUUGUGAAGCAAAACUGUUUUUGAUUCACAAAAUUUCAA